UGUAAACAUCCUACACUCUCAGCUGUGAGCUCAAGUUGGCUGGGAGAAGGUUGUUUACU
rnacentral:pre_miRNA from 2 species